rnacentral:rRNA from 1 species
GUGUCAGCAGCCGCGGUAAUACGAAGGGGGCUAGCGUUGCUCGGAAUCACUGGGCGUAAAGGGUGCGUAGGCGGGUCUUUAAGUCAGGGGUGAAAUCCUGGAGCUCAACUCCAGAACUGCCCUUGAUACUGAGGAUCUUGAGUUCGGGAGAGGUGAGUGGAACUGCGAGUGUAGAGGUGAAAUUCGUAGAUAUUCGCAAGAACACCAGUGGCGAAGGCGGCUCACUGGCCCGAUACUGACGCUGAGGCACGAAAGCGUGGGGAGCAAACAGGAUCAGAAACCAUAGUAGUCC